rfam:Ictidomys tridecemlineatus contig046193, whole genome shotgun sequence.
UGGGCUGGGGCUCAGUGGCAGAGCACUUGCCUUCCAUGUGUGAGGCACUGGGUUCGAUCCUCAGCACCACAU